AAAUAAUAGCAUGGUAUAUUUAAAUAAUAAUUAAAUAAAAUAUUUAUUAAAAUAAAUCAUAAGCCCGAAUUAAUCUAAUUUAAAUCAGUGAAUAAGAUAAAAUGAAUUAUAUUAUAUUUGGACUUGAUUUUUUAAUAUUAUAUAAUAUCCUUAAAUACAUAUAAUUACCAAGAUACACUGAUAUAGCUCACAUACAUUAAUUUAAUUAAUUUUUAUAAAAUCAAUGUCUAAAAAAAUAGGUAUCUUAACUUCUAUAUUAAUUAACUUUUUUACUUGUAAUUCAAAAUAUUUUCUGUAUAAAAAUCAUGAAAUAAUAAUAGCAUUAAAAAUUCGAAAUACAUGUUAAAUAGUUGAAAUUUUAGGCACAAAAUAAAAUUAAAGCUUAUUCAUCACAUUUCUUACAUUUUCACAUGCAGAUUGUGUGAAGUCAUUAAUGUAUAAUCCAUAGAAGCAAUCACGUAGGUUUUUCAAUCAAAAUAUGGUUAAAAUUCAUAAAAAAUUGCAGUGUACACCAAAAAUAAAUUUUUAAAUGUAGAAUUGUUUACAUAAUGUGAUAGGUAAAUUUAUUAGAUUGAUAAAUAUAGUGAAUAUAAACAAUCAUCAUUUAUUCACAUGAAUAAGUAAACAUGAAUCAAGCAAUUGUAACGUGCUUUGCAAAGAUCACAAAGUUAUUGUAACAUUUUAAGAAAAAGAUUAAUUUUAAACAGUAUAUAUUAAAAAUCAUCAUCAAACUGUAACACUAUUUUUUAUUCUUUAUUUCAUAAAUUUUCUUAGUUUUCUUUCUCAUGUUUUUUACCCAUGUACCAUAUGUGAUUGAUGGUAAAGAACUUCCUAAAAUCUCAAUAAAGUUCUGCUUGUAAACUGAUCGAAUUACAAAUUGGAGAAGAUUUAAAAAAAAAAGAAAAAAAAAAAAGAAAAAAAAAAAAAAUCGUUUGGUGAGUUUCAUAAUGAUUGAAAUUCUUCACAGUUCACUUAUUUUCCUUGUAUAAUCACCUGCUCAACUUUUACUCAAAGUUAUCAAGGGUUUCUUGGCAAGAAAGGAAGAAAUGGGUGGCAUUGAAAAAAUGUUUUUAUUUUUUUAUUUUUAUGGAUAAGAUAAGACAAGAUGGAAAACCAAGCCUCAUGUCUCCUCUACUUCUCUUGUCGCUGCAAAUGAUUUACGCUUUUCAAGUGCACUCAAAAAAUUGGCUUCAUCUAAGUGUCCAUCACAUGAAAGCCAACCCACAUGAGUUGCAUUGUUGGUCUGCUACUAACACCUGAAAGCAGUUGAAUGGACUAUGAGUAUUUUGGCAAUCAAAUUGAGUAUUACUUAAUUUCCAAAUUUAUGGGAUCAAAUUUUAUCAGUUGGCAAGAGACAUGUGUGCUUUUUGGAUUUUUGUUAAUAAAAAUGCAUUUAUAUAUGUAUAUUUUAGCAUUCUACAAAGGAGAACAGAGAUAUUUAUUUUUCAACCUGAGGAGAUUAAAGUGAACACAGCACAACAUUUUGAAAAGUUCAAUGUUGACACAUGAUUUUUGCGUUAAAUUGUGAAAUGUGGGCAGGUUCAGUGUGGAGGUGUGGGCUUGUGGGGCUUUACUUUACAAACAAGAAAACAAUAUUCUAAUAAAUUUUGUAAAUAUAUGGAUCUGGUAAAAGGAAAAGAAUGACUUGUUCAGGGCAUGUGGCACAAGUGGAUGGGUUGGACUGCACCCAAAAAAAGCCUGGCAAAAGAAUAAUCUGAUGUUAUCAUUUCUUUCUGUUUGUAUAUGUUUGUUUGUGUAUUUUAGUUAUUGAUAUGUACACACACGAGUUCCAAAGUCUGGAUCUCACUAGGGUUUUUGUGCAGGGAUUGUUUGUAUACUGUCUUGAUGGAGGAAUCAUUAGGCAUCCUUCUAUACAGGACAAGGAUGUUGUUGCCUGGCAUUGUUGGUGAUUAAUCCUAUUUUUGUUCUUUUGUCAGGAUUUAGGUUGUUGAACUCUAAAAGCACAAUGUCCCUCUACAGCACAAAAUCUUAUUGGAAGAAUGUUUCUCUUGCAACUUAAACACCCAAUCACCGCAAGGGACUGGUUUCCAAGCAGAUUACCCACAUGCUUGGUGCUUCCCAUGAAAUGGUCACCUGCUACCAUGUGCCAAAUUUGCUCAAACCUCUCCAUCAUCUCAUCUUACAUUUUUUUAUUUUUUUUCUUAAUUCUUUCUUUUGCAUAUUUUGCUGAUGUGAUUCAAUUUUAGCCUUCUAAAGGCCUGCUCCUCAACUAUUGUGCCACACACUGAUUAGCCAAUUCACAGUUGGAGUCAUCCUUUUCAUGGCAUUUUUUUUUUUUUUUUUUUUUUUUAAUACAUAAAUUACUGAACAGAUUGAUACAGUAUUAGAUUCAAAUCUUUUUGGUUCAGAGAUAUUGAUGAUCUUUGGGGGCAAAUGUACUGCAAAAAGAAGAGUGACAAAUGUUGCAGAAUCUGAUACAGUAUCCACCUGUGGACAAGAUCUAACUUGAAAAACUCAAACCCAUGUGCAGAAUGAUGAUACCAGAGUGAUUUAAUUUUCCAGUAUUAUCAGGCACACAAUUAAAGGAUGCAAACCAAGUGUGUUUAUCCUUUCUUCUUUUUUCUUAAUGUUUUUUUGCAACCAGGGAAGUCGGGCUUUUAUAAUUUGCAGAGGUUUUCAAUAUGUCAAUUUACACUAAGAAAGGACAACAUGGUAUGCCAAGAGGGCUUUCUCAACCAAUUCAAAGAAAUAUUGGUAUAAGUAUUCUAUAUAAAUUCUAAUUACAUGUACAAGAAAAGUUAAUUUUUCUUAAAAGCUAUAGAAGCUCAUUAACAAAUUGGUUGCUUGCACUAGGAAAAAGUUACUCUUGGUAAGCUCUUUCUUAAGUUUUGUGAAGAAUUAUUUAGAAUUUAUUAUUUGUAUUCAUCUUAUAUAUUAUGUUGAUUGAAUAGUCUAUUGGUCAAUAACACUAUUUAGGUUAAUAGUAUAUGUCACUAUAAAAAGACUCAUCAUUCAAUGAAUUUAAGGUCCAAACAAUAGUACUUUAGACAUAAGUAGGUCCAAAAUCUAAUAGAUCAAAAAGUUCUCUUUGGACUUGGCUUUAAUUUAAAGAAAACUUGUUGAUCACCUUUAAUAAUCAUUGAAUUAUUAUGCCUCUUAUCAAAUAUUAAUUUGUAAUUACUAUUCCUGAAAAAAAAUCUUUUUGUAUCAAAGUUGACAAGUUCUAAUUGGAAUUCUUAUUAAGAAUUGUUUUGUACCAAUAAAUUGAACUACAUACAAUUAAACUUUAAUAAAAAUAUUGUAAAAACUUAUUUUGGAUUAAAUAAUAGAAGAAAUAUAGCUUAAAUUUUAAAAAUAUUCUAUAUUCAAAAUCAAUUAAAAUAAAACUUUAAAAUAUAAAAUAAUAAUAGUUCUUUUACAUCAUUGACCUAGAUUGUUAUUUACAUCACUUUGAUUCUUGGCUGCUAGCUAUAUUUUUCUAAGCAACUAGUUACUCUCUUAAUCUAAUCUAUUCUAACUUACACUUUAGGAUAAGUGGUUCUUAUGUGGAUCAAGUGUCUUCUAUUUGUUUUCAAUUAUUUAGACCCUAUUAGUAUAAUUCUUAUGUAGAUUGGUUAUCUCCUAUAUACCUUCUACUAUAGAAACCCUAUUAAUUUGGAUUCCUAUAUUAAAUUAGUUCUUCCAAAUUUCUUUUAGAUAAUCAAGCUAACUAACAUUUUGUACUUAAAUUAUCUUUGUGGAAGUAAAUAAUUAGGUGGUACACAAAAAGAUUAGAUUUUAUUAGGUUUAGUGGUUAGCUAUAAGCUUUAAAUUAUAUAGCACUAAAAAUAAUUUGGACAAAUAUAUUUAAACAAAACAAACACACUUACGAUAGUCUUUGAAAAUCUUAGUUGAAUUAUAAUUCAUCUUUAAUACAUAUCUUUAAAAUACACUUCUCAAACUAGGUUAUAACAGGGCAUGGAUAGGAUAUUUGUCUUAUUUGUAAAUAGAAAUAUGCAAUUGGAAUU
rnacentral:lncRNA from 1 species